CCUUGUACACACCGCCCGUCACACCAUGGGAGUGGGCUGCACCAGAAGUAGAUAGUCUAACCUUCGGGGGGACGUUUACCACGGUGUGGUUCAUGACUGGGGUGAAGUCGUAACAAGGUACCC
rnacentral:rRNA from 1 species